AUACGGAGGGUCCAAGCGUUAUCCGGAAUCAUUGGGUUUAAAGGGUCCGUAGGCGGACAAUUAAGUCAGAGGUGAAAGCCCACAGCUCAACUGUGGAACUGCCUUUGAUACUGGUUGUCUAGAAUUAUAGUGAAGUAGAUAGAAUAUGUAGUGUAGCGGUGAAAUGCAUAGAUAUUACAUAGAAUACCGAUUGCGAAGGCAGUCUACUAACUAUAUAUUGACGCUGAUGGACGAAAGCGUGGGGAGCGAACAGGAUUAGAAACCCUAGUAGUCC
rnacentral:rRNA from 1 species